GACAAAUCCUGACAGUGACAACAAAAAUCAGGCACCAAUUUUCCCCUCUAGUUGUACAUCAAAUACUCAUAGGAAAGUAAAUUAUCAAGGCAAGAUUAUAGUGACAAAAAUUGAUUUGGAGAUUCAUCACAUAAGCAGCUGAAAACAAUGAACCUAACAAUGGACUGCAUGUCAUCAUCUGUAUUAUGUAUAAUCAACAAUUAGGCUGAAAACACAAGGGCUUCAUGAAAAGUUGACAACAGCUAUAUUAAUAUAAAGAAGAGAAGAUUAUAAUUCUUAUGAACCUUCUGUAAAACCUAUUCAUGAGAGUAAGUCUGACAUUUUUAUAUAUAACAGCUCAGGCAUACCUUGCGAUAUGAAUGCAGAAGAC
rnacentral:misc_RNA from 1 species